rnacentral:rRNA from 1 species
UUGAAAGGGAAACGAUUGAAGUCAGUCGUACCUGUGGGUAAUCAGCCUUUUGGGUGUGAUUUUGUGGAGUGUGAGGAGUUAAACGCCUUCAUGCCUGCAUAUUCGUGCACUUUGGGUGUAUUUACCCGUGUGGUAAGUUAACAUCAAUUUCGGUGAUCAUAAAAUGGCUGGAGGAAUGUAGCUUCGAUCUUGUAUUGAAGUGUUAUAGCCUUCGGUAGAUGUGAUGAUCGGGGUUGAGGAUUGCAACGGAUACCCCUCGGGGCUACCUGUCUGAUCUCUGAUCGUUGCUCUGGUGCCGAAAGCUUGCUUACGGUUAUCAAAGUCGAUGGUCAAUAGGUUAGAACGGGUUAAAUUCGUUAAGGAUGUUGACGUA